GGGUCUAGUGGCGCACGGGUGCGUAACGCGUGGGAACCUGCCUUUAGGUUCGGAAUAACUCAGAGAAAUUUGAGCUAAUACCGGAUAAUGUCUUCGGACCAAAGAUUUAUCGCCUUUAGAUGGGCCCGCGUUGGAUUAGCUAGUUGGUGGGGUAAAGGCCUACCAAGGCGACGAUCCAUAGCUGGUCUGAGAGGAUGAUCAGCCACACUGGGACUGAGACACGGCCCAGACUCCUACGGGAGGCAGCAGUGGGGAAUAUUGGACAAUGGGCGAAAGCCUGAUCCAGCAAUGCCGCGUGAGUGAUGAAGGCCUUAGGGUUGUAAAGCUCUUUUACCCGAGAUGAUAAUGACAGUAUCGGGAGAAUAAGCUCCGGCUAACUCCGUGCCAGCAGCCGCGGUAAUACGGAGGGAGCUAGCGUUGUUCGGAAUUACUGGGCGUAAAGCGCACGUAGGCGGCUUUUUAAGUCAGGGGUGAAAUCCCGGGGCUCAACCCCGGAACUGCCCUUGAAACUGGGAAGCUAGAAUCUUGGAGAGGCGAGUGGAAUUCC
rnacentral:rRNA from 1 species